GGAAGCAGCAGACAGUAGGGUUGCAGAAACUACCUACGCAGCAGCAAUCAGGCUCACUGGACUUACUUUUCAGAUCAGUUUAUGCCUUUGCAUCUUGCUGUUCCAGUUUCAAGAAGUUAAGGAAGAUAACUGGAGAUGUGAUAACGAUACCAGAAGACUGAGAAGAAACUGACCCUCAUUAGAAAGAUGAUGGAGACCACAUUUCCCCUACGCCGACAGACCAUAGUGAUGUCCUGCCCACCAGUGAACGACCUCAUGGACCUCUGGCCUGCUCUUAAAAUAGAGUCUGAGUUGUAUGCAGAGUUCCAGCGGAUUACAAAUCAGAACCUGCCCAACACGUGCUAUGCUGAGCUUGACCGCUAUCUUCCUCGACUGAUGACCUUAUUCAGACGGAAGGCAUCAAAAACUGGGAAGACAGCAGAUGCUCUGGCUGAAAUUUUAAAAAUCCAUGAUGAACAGGAAAUCCAUGACAUACACACCAAGUGCACUACUGUUCUCCACGUCCUUCCUGUGUAUCUGCGUGAGGACGUCUC